GGUUUUAUAUUUUAAUAAAAAAAUUUUUGUUUUGCAGGCAAAGAAUGAGAAGGCUCUCUAAAACCA
rnacentral:tRNA from 1 species